rnacentral:lncRNA from 1 species
GGUGGGGGUGCGGUAAAAAAACUAUACUACACAGACGGAUAUUUAUAAAAGAAAAAAAGACUAUAAAUUAGUGUCUGAAUUACUUGAAGUAACUUUUCUUUUUAAUAUACAAUUUUACAUUUUAAUAUAAAUUUAUAGGUCAGGUAUUUCAGUACUACAGAAGACAAAAUAAAUCGGAGUGCAAAAGGAAAAAAAGAGAACUAGGAAUAAUAAGAAUUAUUGACAACAUCCUAGCUAGAAAAUGCAUGGGAAUGGAGAUGGAAAAAAAAGCAUUCUACUAUUUGAUAUAUCGCCCAGAAUGAAUAACUUUAAGAAAGUAGGUUAACAUAAUAGCCAUCCUUUAUGCUACAUGGGAUUCCAAUUUCACAGAUAUAUACGCAUAACAUGUUUAAUACUACCGUUAAUGCUAGUGUAUUAAGAUUUGACUUUGUAUUUUUUUUUUUCAACUUGUUUUAUUUAUUUACUUAGAACAUUUUUUGACAAAGUUUUCUGCAACCAUGCAUUUCUACACUCAAUUGUCCUACUUAACCUACCUAGCUUGGUGAAGUCUAACCAUUAUGGUAAACAGCAUGCAAUUUUCUUUUUGCCUUGGCUUGUAUAGGCUAGGGAAAAUAUUAAAAAAAGAGUAUUUUUUCUAACUAUUGUACAAAAAUUUAAUGUGCCAGGACACCAGAAACAAUAUAUUUUUUUUUAUUAUUUGAUGUUUUAGGAGGAGUUAAUAUAUUCAAAAUAUACAUACAUUGAGUACUCAUUUAUUCAUUACUUUAUUACAGAGUCAGUGAAAUAACUUAUAUGAAGAUAUACUAAACUGGAUAAAGGAUUUAACAUCAGACGGAGCCAGAAAUAGUGACAAAACAAAGUGUA